GCUAGCUUCGGCACCCUUUUACUAAAACUGGAAUGAUACAUAGAAGAUUAGCAUGGCCCCUGCGCAAAGAUGACACACACAUUUGUAAAGUGUUCCAUAUUUUU
ensembl:snRNA U6 U6 spliceosomal RNA